rnacentral:lncRNA from 1 species
GGUAGCCACUCCGUGGUCUCUUCGGUAACUUGAGCAUCUCGGGUGAGUGGCAGCCGAAUUUGGAAUCCGCACGCAUCUGGUGGUUUCAACGGCAACAGAAUACAUGCUUGAAUCUUUUCAUCUGUCGAUCGUGAUUGCCGCGAUGAAGAGACAUCAGUAUUGUCAUGGCAAACAUACCAGACUGUUUGAACAUCACGUCACCUGACAGUCGCCGCCGAGCAGAUAAACUACCAUGCGUAUGAACAAAACAGAGUGGAGCAAUAGCAAAUUCAUUGCCAAGGAAACACCAUGAGGAUAACUUGAAAGGAGUGCAGAUAUGCACGAGUUCGCAAUAGUGGAAAUCCUUAAGGCUGCUAAGCACUCCUGAGAAUACCAUCAAUCAGCUAUUAGCCCUAUGCUACCACAAUAAAUGGAUGACUGUGUAACUAAGGGUUGCUGCAAAAGCACCGUAGGCAGAAUAAGUUGGCAUCAUACUCUACGCAAGCAUGACCAUCCUUUCUGUGAAGGGGUUCAAUGAAAAUAGACUGCCAUGGAUGUGUGGAAACCUGUUGGUGAGCUCGUUGGCCCGCUUUGUCAUCUGCCUGGCGGUUCUCGAAGGUGCAUCGGGCUCAAUUUAUACAAGCAUUUCGGAGGCUGACUGACGAGGAGUGCGUGGAGGUGUUUCCUAGUCAUCGGGAGAGGUGGCGUGUCCGGACUGUGGUUGGGGCCUUGGAGGCUUAUCCAACGCAGACCAUCCGUGGCAUGGCUAGGCUCAUUGGCAUGUCUAAGACCCGUGUAUAUGAGACACUGAGAGACGCUUUUUCCAAGCUGGAAAAUUAUUGUCUUAAUUGAGGGGUUGCUAUUGUUGCCAAAAAUGUAAAUAAAAGAUGCAGAGUAAC